rnacentral:rRNA from 1 species
ACGACGCUGGCGGCGUGCUUAACACAUGCAAGUGGAGCGACGAACCGGGGCUUGCCCCGGGGCAGAGCCGCGAACGGGUGAGUAACACGUGGGUAACCUGCCUCAAUGAUUGGGACAACCCGGGGAAACUCGGGCUAAUACCAAAUGUGUUCACUCCUUCUAAGGGGAGUGAGGAAAGGAAGCUUCGGCCUCCGCAUUGAGAUGGGCCCGCGGCCCAUUAGCUUGUUGGUGAGGUAACGGCUCACCAAGGCUUCGAUGGGUAGCUGGUCUGAGAGGACGAUCAGCCACACUGGGACUGAGACACGGCCCAGACUCCUACGGGAGGCAGCAGUGGGGAAUCUUGCACAAUGCGCGAAAGCGUGAUGCAGCAACGCCGCGUGGGGGAAGACGGCCUUCGGGUUGUAAACCCCUUUCAGUUGGGACGAAGCUUCGUCGGUGAAUAGCCGGUUGGAGUGACGGUACCUUCAGAAGAAGCCCCGGCUAACUACGUG